GAACGCACAUUGCGCCCCUUGGUAUUCCGAGGGGCAUGCCUGUUCGAGCGUCAUUACACCACUCAAGCUAUGCUUGGUAUUGGGCGUCGUCCUUAGUUGGGCGCGCCUUAAAGACCUCGGCGAGGCCACUCCGGCUUUAGGCGUAGUAGAAUUUAUUCGAACGUCUGUCAAAGGAGAGGAACUCUGCCGACUGAAACCUUUAUUUUUCUAGGUUGACCUCGGAUCAGGUAGGGAUACCCGCUGAACUUA
rnacentral:misc_RNA from 1 species